UACGGGGGGAGCAAGCGUUGUUCGGAUUUACUGGGCGUAAAGGGCGCGUAGGCGGCCACCGCAAGUCAGUUGUGAAAGCUCUGGGCUUAACCCAGAAAGGUCAGCUGAUACUGCGGGGCUAGAGUGCAGAAGGGGCAACUGGAAUUCUCGGUGUAGCGGUGAAAUGCGUAGAUAUCGAGAGGAACACCUGCGGCGAAGGCGGGUUGCUGGGCUGACACUGACGCUGAGGCACGAGAGCGUGGGGAGCGAACCGG
rnacentral:rRNA from 1 species